rnacentral:lncRNA from 1 species
GCAAUAAACAUUAACAAUAUAUCAGGUAAUAACAACUGCACACUUAUGUAAAAACAUGUAUGUAAGUUAAAAUAUACAAGAAACCGGCUCAGUAAUUGCAUAGUUCAUGUCCAAAGGGUAUUUACCUCUUUGCGGUUCCUUCAAGGAAUGUCCUUAACUGAUGAGUAACCAAUAUAUUUAAUGAGAGGAAGUAGGUAUAUGACGUAGGUUUAUAUUACCUUCACAUUUAUAUUAAUAUAUUCAAUGUAAUAUUGAUAGUAAUUGAAGAAGAAUAAAAGGUUAAAGACAUAAAGGGAAAACUAUAAAUAAAACAAGAAAAUGUUGAAAAAGCAAAAUACUUGUUACAUCAAAGUGCAGAUCUACAUAACAAAAAUUAAAACCAGGCAAAAAGCCUUAUCAAUAUAAGAAUAAUUAUAAGUAGGUACUUAUUUUAUUGAGGAAAACGAAAAAAUAAGUAAUGGACCAAAAGAGCAAUAUCCGCUUAAGUUUUCCGUGACUUCCCAUAAAUUAUUUGAUUGGCCGGACCAUUUUCAAAAUACCAAAAAGGUUUUGUAUUAGGUCAACGAAUCUUAUGACCUUACCGUCAUAUAAGACAAACAAACAAAACUUGACCGCAUCAAAUCAAUUACCUAAAUCGAGUAUUUUAUUGCUCCUUAAUUUACAACAACAAUAAGAUAUUAAAAUCAGGACUUGAAAGGAAAAAUUUUACUUAAGUAUAACUUUUGAGAUAAACUUAUACAUAAAACUAAAACAGUAAAUUAAUCUAAGUUUAAUGAACAUGCAGUUGUAAUGCAUCUAAGGCACGCAAACUAAACAACUCCUGACUCUAAUGAAGAACAUUUGAUAACCACAAAUGAUAAAGAUAAAGUAAGUAAUGAGCAUGCUAGUGGGUUUUCACAAAUUGCAGAAGAUAUUUCGAAAUUGAUAAACUAAGAAACUAACGUAAAGGUCCAUCCUUAUAACCAAACUAAUUUGUUGAAUAAUGUCUGUCUUGCAGACCUCUACAGAUAGUGUUUUAAGAUCCUGCUCAGCUUUAAUAACAUCUAAUCCAUAAUAAUACAUUUAGUUAAAACACUCCAGGUUUUACCAAGCUAGAUAUUUGUGAUAGAAUUAUCGCAUCAUUCUUAUCAAAGAAAUUAUACGUCUGUUGUAUUUCCUAUACAUUGUUUAUUAGUAUGACCUAUGACUUUAUUAGAUAAGUAUUAUCUAUACUUAUAUAAUUUGCAUUAGUCUUUGCACAUGAUGCGUAAUCAGGUGAAUCAGUUGUUUUAGAUUUAUUAGUGUUAUGGUUUUCAUUUCUCCCACUUGUGUUGUUUCCAUUAUGCAGUGGAUUCUCUUCUGGUUUUGCAUCUCUAAGAUUAUAUUCUUAACUUUCAAGUUCAGAAGCUAAACAGUAGUCAUUUAUAGUGUUUUUAUAUUCUUGAUAUUCCACAUUUCCAACAUUAAUUUUAUCCAAUAUUUCGUCAUUUAAUAAAUAAGUAUGAGGAAAAUGGUGUACUUCAACUCUUUAAACCAUUAUGAGGAAAACCUUUAAAAUCCCAUAUGUUGCUUGUCAUUUACGUCAUUUAAAUUAAAAUCUAGACUUUUGUUUAAAUAAUUAAUGUUAUCUCAAAUAACCGCAAUGUAAUAUUAUUUAUUUAAGAAAUUAACAGUGUUCUUAUUAUGAUACGUAUUGAAAGAAGUCACACAUAUGUGUCAAACAAAAACCGGUCCUAAAAGUAUGGAAAUGUAAUUUUACGUGUGAUUUGUGACAAUCUAAGCAUUUAAAAAUAAUGAGAUGAAAUAUUACUAACAAUAGGUAUAUCGGAUUGAAAGUAUUGUUUCAAAAAUAGCUUGGUAACCCAACAAAGGAUUCAAUUUUCUGCUCGCGUAAUUGCCUAAUUCAAUCACGCACACAAGAAUUAAAUAAGUAUUAUAAACAAAAAUAAAUAACUUGUUGAACAUAGCGACCAAAAAAAUAAUGAAAUACAUAUAUGAAUUUUAGAAACCUCAAAGAUUAUUUUCAAAUUACCAUUACAACCAGUCUAGCCAAGGGUAUUGGGUUGCGCGGGUAACUGGGUUGAGGGGGUCAGAUAGGGCUGUCGCUCCUUGUAAAGCACUGGUACUCAGCUACAUCCGGUUAGACUGGAAGCUGACCCCAACAUUGUUGGGAAAAAAGGCUCGGAGGAUGAUGAUCAUUACAACAAACUAAGUAAUACUUGAUGCAAUUUAGUUGAUCAACGAAGACUAACAAAACAACUAAAAGAAGAAAAACUAGAAGCGUCCGAAGCACAUGGGAACCUGUUGCCCUUUCAAACAGGAUCAACUAGAAACUAGUCUUAAUCCUGUACUGGAUAUAGAUAAUAAUUUAUAAGACGAUAGCAUUGGACAGGGUGAAUGACAAACUAAGUUUCUAAUAGUUAAACUUAUAAAAGAUAAAGAAAACUAUAGUAAUAUUGAUUCUGAUGAUAUUUUUAUUUUACUUAAAGGUGAGUAGUUUUAAAGCGAUUUGACUCGGAUUAUCAAACAACAUGUAGCAAGAUAGCAACAGAAUUGUCAAAACUUGUUGCUGAUUAAAAGUGUAGGUCAAAUAAAAUAAUAAUUAUGAUUUAUUGUUUACGAAUAAAUUUACCAUUAAAUUAUCUUAAAACGUAACAGGAAAAGUCAUCGUAAUACAAUUUUAAUUACAUGAUGUGCAUAAUAUAUAAAACAAAAUACAUAAGAUAAUAUUGAAACUAAGAAGAGGUAGGUAAAGUAAGAUCAUGAUAAACAUACCAAUACUGAUGAAACUAAAUAAAACAAAACAACUAAGAAGCCAGACAUAUUAGAGAGAUGAACACGCAAAGAUAUAAAGAAAUGGAUUUCCAAGGAACACAAAAAGCCUCAAGACUUCAAUUAGUGCUCUCAACAGUGAACCACAAAUGAAUACAGUUGAUUUUUCAACUAUUCAACCUCUUCUAUUUAUGAGUCAUAGUUUGUUGUAUGUUUAGUUUGAGUCAUGUUAAGUCUAAAAUAUUAUGUACACCAUCAUGUUUUACAUAACCAAUUUCGUCAUUAAGAUUUAUCUGGAGACCCUAGUCUUAUGAACUUCUGGACCAUACUAAAAGGUACUGUUCUCUACAGACAGCCUUUUAUUCAAUCAUUAUGCCUAUAGGUACCAGCGGUGGUAAGUGUAUUCUUUUAAAAAUUUACCCCAACAUGCGAAAUAGUCUUAGGCUCAUGAUUUCUUUCUUCAACAGUCCCAGCAAGUGAUACAUUGUCGAAAGGUAUGUCACCACUAGUUAGUUAUUAAUCUUUAUCAGAUUCAAGUUUAUUCUUUCAAUUCACUUACUUUGUUUCGACAGAACAACAAACCACAGCUGAAACCAGUAUACAAGGAACUAAUACUCCGGAUGAUAAAUUCAUGGAAUAUUAUCCACAUAUUGUAAUCAUCAAGCCCAUGGGCAAUUCGAUGAAACAGUUUUCCAGCUAUAAUACGCCUCAUUUCGUGCCAUACAACGAACCCGGAAAACAAUAUCAAUAUUGGAAGGUUUAUACACCUGGGCAAAUCCUUCAACCAAUAAUGCCGCCUGUAGUUUAUACUGCAAAUGUACCCCCC